AUUGAACGCUGGCGGCAUGCCUUACACAUGCAAGUCGAACGGCAGCACGGGUGCUUGCACCUGGUGGCGAGUGGCGAACGGGUGGGUAAUACAUCGGAACAUGUCCUGUAGUGGGGGAUAGCCCGGCGAAAGCCGGAUUAAUACCGCAUACGAUCUACGGAUGAAAGCGGGGGACCUUCGGGCCUCGCGCUAUCGGGUUGGCCGAUGGCUGAUUAGCUAGUUGGUGGGGUAAAGGCCUACCAAGGCGACGAUCAGUAGCUGGUCUGAGAGGACGACCAGCCACACUGGGACUGAGACACGGCCCAGACUCCUACGGGAGGCAGCAGUGGGGAAUUUUGGACAAUGGGCGAAAGCCUGAUCCAGCAAUGCCGCGUGUGUGAAGAAGGCCUUCGGGUUGUAAAGCACUUUUGUCCGGAAAGAAAUCCUUGGCCCUAAUACGGUCGGGGGAUGACGGUACCGGAAGAAUAAGCACCGGCUAACUACGUG
rnacentral:rRNA from 1 species